rnacentral:rRNA from 1 species
GAUGAACGCUGGCGGCGUGCUUAACACAUGCAAGUCGAACGGAAAGGCUCCUGCUUGCAGGGGUACUCGGGUGGCGAACGGGUGAGUAACACGUGGGUGAUCUGCCCUGCACUUCGGGAUAAGCCUGGGAAACUGGGUCUAAUACCGGAUAGGACGAUGGUUUGGAUGCCAUUGUGGAAAGUUUUUUCGGUGUGGGGUGGGCUCGCGGCCUAUCAGCUUGUUGGUGGGGUAAUGGCCUACCAAGGCGUCGACGGGUAGCCGGCCUGGGAGGGGGUACGGCCACAUUGGGACUGAGGUACGGCCCAGACGCCUACGGGAGGCAGCAGUGGGGAAUAUUGCACAAUGGGCGCGAGCCUGAUGCAGCGACGCCGCGUGGGGGAUGACGGCCUUCGGGUUGUAAACUCCUUUCGCUAAGGACGAAGCGCAAGUGACGGUACCUGGAGAAGAAGCACCGGCUAACUACGUG